GACGAACGCUGGCGGCGUGCUUAACACAUGCAAGUCGAACGGAAAGGCCCUGCUUUUGUGGGGUGCUCGAGUGGCGAACGGGUGAGUAACACGUGAGUAACCUGCCCUUGACUUUGGGAUAACUUCAGGAAACUGGGGCUAAUACCGGAUAGGAGCUCCUGCUGCAUGGUGGGGGUUGGAAAGUUUCGGCGGUUGGGGAUGGACUCGCGGCUUAUCAGCUUGUUGGUGGGGUAGUGGCUUACCAAGGCUUUGACGGGUAGCCGGCCUGAGAGGGUGACCGGCCACAUUGGGACUGAGAUACGGCCCAGACUCCUACGGGAGGCAGCAGUGGGGAAUAUUGCACAAUGGGCGGAAGCCUGAUGCAGCAACGCCGCGUGCGGGAUGACGGCCUGCGGGUUGUAAACCGCUUUCGCCUGUGACGAAGCGUGAGUGACGGUAAUGGGUAAAGAAGCACCGGCUAACUACGUA
rnacentral:rRNA from 1 species